GACGAACGCUGGCGGCGUGCUUAACACAUGCAGGCGAAAGGAAAGGGCCCGGCUUUGUGGGGUUGCUGAGGGGCGAAAGGGGGAGGAACCCGGGAGUUACCCUGCCCUGGAUUUGGGGUUACCUCAGGAAACCGGGGGCUAUUACGGGAAAGGGGCUCCUCCGCAAGGGUGGGGGUGGAAAGUUUCGGCGGUUGGGGAUGGACUCGCGGCUUAUCAGCUUGUUGGUGGGGUAGUGGCUUACCAAGGCUUUGACGGGUAGCCGGCCUGAGAGGGUGACCGGCCACAUUGGGACUGAGAUACGGCCCAGACUCCUACGGGAGGCAGCAGUGGGGAAUAUUGCACAAUGGGCGGAAGCCUGAUGCAGCAACGCCGCGUGCGGGAUGACGGCCUUCGGGUUGUAAACCGCUUUCGCCUGUGACGAAGCGUGAGUGACGGUAAUGGGUAAAGAAGCACCGGCUAACUACGUG
rnacentral:rRNA from 1 species